CACGGGUGAGUAACGCGUAUCCAACCUGCCGUCUACUCUUGGACAGCCUUCUGAAAGGAAGAUUAAUACAAGAUGGCAUCAUGAGUCCGCAUGUUCACAUGAUUAAAGGUAUUCCGGUAGACGAUGGGGAUGCGUUCCAUUAGAUAGUAGGCGGGGUAACGGCCCACCUAGUCUUCGAUGGAUAGGGGUUCUGAGAGGAAGGUCCCCCACAUUGGUACUGAGACACGGACCAA
rnacentral:rRNA from 1 species